ensembl:lncRNA LOC120099261 uncharacterized LOC120099261
GUGGGUGUUUACAAGGAGAUAAGGCAUCUGGCUCACAGACAAGUAAUGCUCCAUUCAGCAUCUGUUAUAGCAGAUAUAUAUAUUAUCCAUGAGACACAGUGCUGCACCUUUUGAAUGCUGUUAGAGAUGGUGAUCAUCUGAGUCCUAAGCACUGCACAGGUGCAGGGAGCCUGUUAAAGAGAGACCCCUGUGCCUAUUCUCCUUUUUCUGAUAUUCUUUGAAAUUCAUCAGCUCAUCCAAUUCAUAAAUUUCAAAGGAGAGAAAUACUUCCACCCAAGUCUAAGCAUAAAUGGAAGACUGUCAAAAUUCGUGAUGGGAAGAAACGUUCUUUCAGGGUGACAUCAAAUACCUCAGAAGGUUGUCAAGACUAUCUUCUGUGAUAUCAUCUUGACCACAGGAGUGAGCUUGUCAUCAUGUCAGUCACACUCUAUUAGGGACUUCCUCCAACCUGGAAACAGGUUGCUGUCCCUCAGGUCUUUGCCCACAGGGCAGUCAGCAGAGGUUGGGGACUACCUAGGAGAGAAUGCUGGACAAGAGACAUGAAAAAGGAUUCCAAGACAAGAGUCUGAUCAAGGCAACAACUUAUUUUUUCCCAAGGCUGAAUUUACCAUAUCAGUGGUAAAAGAGGGAAGUGGGAAGCAUGUACACAAGCCAAGGACAUAGUACAUUUGUGGUAAGCAGAUGUCACCAGGAUGUUAGUUUUUCACAAAGGUCACAGGUUUGUCAUAUCAUCAGUCAGUGAGAUGUUGGUUUCUCAGAAAGGUCACAGGUUUGUCAUAUCAUUAGUCAGCAGGAUGUUGGUUUCUCAGAAAGGUCACAGUUUUGUCAUAUCACUGGGCAUCCUGACCACCAGAUUUGUAUUAGUCUUCUGCAGCUGGCUGGGUAUUUUCCAUGAACCCAGUCAUACUUAACUAACUAUACUAUUAACGCCAAUAAUAGAGGGUUACAAGGGCAUCACUCCCAACAUCUCCCUCUUCCUUAUGGUCAAAUGAAAAGGUGACCAAUGGCUGCGCUGUCCUGAAAUGAGCCCCUCAGGAACUGUGUCUGUCUUAGGUUCGAGCGAUAUUUGUCACAUGGCCAAGAGAAUCUCGUGGACAGGGCCAGUUAUGGGAUAAGGCAGCGGCUAAUGGUGGCCCUCCUGUAUUAGGCCCUUUAUUCACGAAUAUAUCCCUCUCUUACCUGUCAUUGACUGUCAAGAUCCGCUCACAGGGGUUAUGAUUCAUUGAUGUUUCACCAAAGGCAUCAGGACAGCAGGCAGAAAAGAAUGUUGGCUUCAUUUGGCUCAAGGACAAAAAGAUCGUUGCCUGGGCUGGGAGGGGAUGUGUAGGUGAGCUUGGCCCUCACCAAAGGCAUUCUCCAUAGCUAGCCUAUAAAAAUAUACCUGAAUAGGUUUUGCUGCUAUAUUAUCUACAUGUUGUUUAAUAAAGCUGGUUAAAUGAUUAAAUGUCCAAGGGCCAAAAGAUAUAAGCAAAAGAAGGACUACUAGGGGGUCCAACAGGGAAGAAAGCAGGGUGGACAACAAAGGGGAGGUGGAGAAUCACUCUUGACACCAGCUCUCAGCUUUUUCUCUUUCUUGUUUUCUCCUUUCUAAGCCUUUUCUGAACUUUUUCAUGCUUUCUUUAACCCUAUUCUAAGACACAGGAAGUAUCUGAGCACUGUCUUUCUCUCACGAACCACAAUUCACUGAUUGCUCAAAGUUGGGAACAUAAAGGUAAAAAGCU